GAUGAACGCUGGCGGCGUGCCUAAUACAUGCAAGUCGAGCGAACGGACGAGAAGCUUGCUUCUCUGAUGUUAGCGGCGGACGGGUGAGUAACACGUGGAUAACCUACCUAUAAGACUGGGAUAACUUCGGGAAACCGGAGCUAAUACCGGAUAAUAUUUUGAACCGCAUGGUUCAAAAGUGAAAGACGGUCUUGCUGUCACUUAUAGAUGGAUCCGCGCUGCAUUGGCUAGUUGGUAAGGUAACGGCUUACCAAGGCAACGAUGCAUAGCCGACCUGAGAGGGUGAUCGGCCACACUGGAACUGAGACACGGUCCAGACUCCUACGGGAGGCAGCAGUAGGGAAUCUUCCGCAAUGGGCGAAAGCCUGACGGAGCAACGCCGCGUGAGUGAUGAAGGUCUUCGGAUCGUAAAACUCUGUUAUUAGGGAAGAACAUAUGUGUAAGUAACUGUGCACAUCUUGGCGGUACCUAAUCAGAAAGCCACGGCUAACUACGUG
rnacentral:rRNA from 1 species